UUUAAUUGAAGAGUUUGAUCAUGGCUCAGAUUGAACGCUGGCGGCAGGCCUAACACAUGCAAGUCGAACGGUAACAUUUCUAGCUUGCUAGAAGAUGACGAGUGGCGGACGGGUGAGUAAUGCUUGGGAACUUGCCUUUGCGAGGGGGAUAACAGUUGGAAACGACUGCUAAUACCGCAUAAUGUCUUCGGACCAAACGGGGCUUCGGCUCC
rnacentral:rRNA from 1 species